UUAAAUUAUUCCGUUAACAUAAAGAAAUCUUUAAUGCAAAAUAAGUUCAUUUAGCAACAAUAAUUCACUUUUUAAAGUGUCCAUUGUUCAAUAGCUCAUUCUUAUUACACAGGUUAAAGGUACCUAAAGUUAUUUUAUACAGAAAAAUACGCCGUACUUAGAAGAGGUAAUGAACGUGACUGAAAUACAUAAAAUUUUAACAUGCUUCUCUCUUUUACAAAGUAAUAAUUACAGAAUUUUCAAUACGGUAUGCUUUCCAUCAAUUCUUUUAAUUGUUAAUUCUGUUAAUUAAGUUAAAGUAUUUAAGAAAUGUGCAUUAACCAAAAUAGAACACAAUUAUUUUAAAAAGAAGGAAAUUUCCUGUGUUCCAAGGUGACUAACAAACUCACAGGAAUAACGACUGCAGAAAAGUAAUUUCUUUAAUCUAGGUUAGUCCAUAACCAUUCAUAUUUUUUGUCUCUCAACUUGAAUACCUGAAUAUAAUACAUUUCAUUUUCACUUGUAAUCUGUCUCAUAUUCCAUGUUUGAAUGCAAUGAAAAAAGGCCAGGACACAAUCAUGCAGAUCAGUGACGGAAAUAGACUGAAAUGAACGAUACAGAAUGAUAUUAGAAAUAGAACGAUACCGUCUCUGUCAGUAUUACCACUUCAUAAAGUGUACAUUCUGUACAAUUUUUGUACAGAGCUAAUUAAAAGGGUUUCAAACUAAGGAGCUUUUGUGUCUAUUUUUGGUAAAUAUUAUCCCUAUUCAUAAGCAAACUCUUAGGGACUCAAAGUAAAGUACAUCAUACAAGCGAGAGAAAAAGCACUAUACGCCUCAUGAACUUAGAGAGUUCGUUAUUUAAGUUGUUUGCAUCUCCAGUGACGAAUACCUAAUGGCCUAAGACUUGCAACUUCAGGUGGCAAGGCCUAGGUUUCAGGCACUGAGCCUUGAGAGCAGAAUCCAGAAAUCUGUGUCAAGCUCUUAAGUGCCCAGAGAAUGUCUGCUGAAGGAUACUUCGGAAGAAUGAUGAAAAAACAAAUGCUAUGCCAUGUUGGCAAGAUUAGCUCAGUGUAUUCACUAACAUCGGACUCCGGAGAUGCUUCUUUGGAAAAAAAAAAAAAAAUCACUUGAAAUUUCAUCAUCCAGAAUCCCGCCCUGACAAGAUGCACAUAUUAUUUCGUAACAGGCAGUGGCUUGAAUUUGGCAGAGAUCACAAUCUCUAAGUGUCUGCACCAACCAUAUAACAAACUCCCUAAUGGCUAGAGCACAUGCAAAGGAAGUUAAAUAACUGGAUUUAGCAUCUUCAGCACAAGGAAGUUCAAAGAUACCUCUUCACUUCCAAAGAGAGCACUAUAACUCUCAGCUUUAGGAUGGAGAGCAGAGGUGAACAUUCUCAUCUUUCCAAUUAAAGUUAUUCAAAAAAUCAUAAUUGAAGAGGCCAGACACGGCACACAAGAAGCCACCAAACUGCAUGCCGUAACGAACCAGGGGUGACAUUUACUAAGCUGAUCCUGUUAGUACAAAUUUGGAGCAAAACACUACAUCCCAAACCCACUUUUCGCAAGAGUUGUUUUUCAAGAACCGUUUGGGCAGGCCUGCAUGAACCCAGGGAACAGCCAGGUCAAAAGAGAGGAGAGCUAAUAAGGUGUACUCAGAGCCAGAUGACACUGAACAGAGGUUUACUUGGAACGUAAUUUGGACCUUUAGUGCCUAAAAUCCAUCUGUCUCCUUAUUUCAGUCCAUCCAUGGUUUGUUUCAUGUAGUUCCUACAGAAUAAGUAGGGCUGAAGUUCCUUCUGCACUACAAGGCAAGGGAGUUAUGUUUUGAAGGUCACAGGGCUUGCACUUGCACUGCCGCAGACGUAAUUACCUCUGAAGAGUAAGAUAAUAAUGCCCAAGAUAGGAAGAAAACUUCUGAACCCACAUUCAGCAUGAAUUUGUCUGCACUAGUAUAGAAGUAAAUUUAUAGUAGCCCCAACAGGCACAGGUUGUGCUAAGUAUUAUUUGUAUCUCCGUCAUCAAUUAGUUGAGCGGGUGCUACCACUUUAUCUCUGGAAGUCUGAACUUAUAUUAACAAUUUUCACUGCUGCUAUUCAAGGGUUUAUGAGAAGCAGUAAAAUCCAUCCAAAACGUGUCUGUCAUUCUAGGUCAUGUAUGAGUAACCGCACAGCAGGCAUCAAACCGGUCCUCAGGGGACAACGAAGGCAGGGCACAGCAGCCAGGCCAGGAAGUCCGAACGGGGAAAGCACAGAGAAAACAGUGAAUUAUUCCUUCCCCUCCAACGCUGGAAACGAAAGCCGGCAGACUCAUCUGCAGGAAUAAGUCCCUGAAGGAAGUACAGCGUCAGGACAUGACUCACGAGAACAGAGCCUCUGCAUUUCCAAGAGCUUUCACAGGGGUAGCCUACAGCCAGACGCAGCUGGAAGACUGAACUAUUUGUCCUAAGAGCCUGCAGCUGUUUUUCCAAGUCCACCCUGGUACGGGGCCGCAUGAGAAGUUUGGAGCCACACCAGCGAGGCUGUUACUGGUGGCAGCGACUUGGGGCACCAUUUCAGACGAAACUCAGCGUCAGACAAAGUAGAAGAGAAGAGGUUUGCCAUCGCCAGCGAGCCAGCACCUAACCCAGGACCUAAAUCCCGGCUGGAAGCGGAGGCCCGGUGCCACCGAGCAGCGGCUGCCCGGGACCUUGCGCCGGGACCCGCGGCACUGGGGGGCACCGCCGGCCUCGGCGGGCAGCGGGGAUCGUGAAAGGAGAGGGAAAGGGGGAAAUGGCUCCGUUGUCACUGCCAGCUGCGACGACAGAUAAACACCGGGUAAAACAAUUCCACGUAACUACGGCCCCUGCAGAAGUGCCAGAACAAACUGCUUGUGGGCACCGGAGCCUCCACAGGGAAACACCUGCAGCAUGAGUCCGUCAGUAACAGGCGGUGGCACUUCAUCGCUGUACUUUAUUUCUGGCAGUACAAUACCUGUUACCAAAUGUGUAGAAGCAUUAAAAGUUAAGUAUUUUGCCCUUAA